ACAAUGGAGAGUUUGAUCCUGGCUCAGGAUGAACGCUAGCGGGAGGCCUAACACAUGCAAGCCGAGCGGUAUUUGUUCUUCGGAACAGAGAGAGCGGCGCACGGGUGCGGAACACGUGUGCAACCUGCCUUUAUCUGGGGGAUAGCCUUUCGAAAGGAAGAUUAAUACCCCAUAAUAUAUUGAGUGGCAUCAUUUGAUAUUGAAAACUCCGGUGGAUAGAGAUGGGCACGCGCAAGAUUAGAUAGUUGGUGAGGUAACGGCUCACCAAGUCAAUGAUCUUUAGGGGGCCUGAGAGGGUGAUCCCCCACACUGGUACUGAGACACGGACCAGACUCCUACGGGAGGCAGCAGUGAGGAAUAUUGGACAAUGGGUUAGCGCCUGAUCCAGCCAUCCCGCGUGAAGGACGACGGCCCUAUGGGUUGUAAACUUCUUUUGUAUAGGGAUAAACCUACUCUCGUGAGAGUAGCUGAAGGUACUAUACGAAUAAGCACCGGCUAACUCCGUGCCAGCAGCCGCGGUAAUACGGAGGGUGCAAGCGUUAUCCGGAUUUAUUGGGUUUAAAGGGUCCGUAGGCGGAUCUGUAAGUCAGUGGUGAAAUCUCACAGCUUAACUGUGAAACUGCCAUUGAUACUGCAGGUCUUGAGUAAAUUUGAAGUGGCUGGAAUAAGUAGUGUAGCGGUGAAAUGCAUAGAUAUUACUUAGAACACCAAUUGCGAAGGCAGGUCACUAAGAUUUAACUGACGCUGAUGGACGAAAGCGUGGGGAGCGAACAGGAUUAGAUACCCUGGUAGUCCACGCCGUAAACGAUGCUAACUCGUUUUUGGGGUUUCGGCUUCAGAGACUAAGCGAAAGUGAUAAGUUAGCCACCUGGGGAGUACGUUCGCAAGAAUGAAACUCAAAGGAAUUGACGGGGGCCCGCACAAGCGGUGGAUUAUGUGGUUUAAUUCGAUGAUACGCGAGGAACCUUACCAAGACUUAAAUGGGAAAUGACAGAUUUAGAAAUAGAUCCUUCUUCGGACAUUUUUCAAGGUGCUGCAUGGUUGUCGUCAGCUCGUGCCGUGAGGUGUUAGGUUAAGUCCUGCAACGAGCGCAACCCCUGUCACUAGUUGCUAGCAUUAAGUUGAGGACUCUAGUGAGACUGCCUACGCAAGUAGAGAGGAAGGUGGGGAUGACGUCAAAUCAUCACGGCCCUUACGUCUUGGGCCACACACGUAAUACAAUGGCCGGUACAGAGGGCAGCUACACAGCGAUGUGAUGCAAAUCUCGAAAGCCGGUCUCAGUUCGGAUUGGAGUCUGCAACUCGACUCUAUGAAGCUGGAAUCGCUAGUAAUCGCGCAUCAGCCAUGGCGCGGUGAAUACGUUCCCGGGCCUUGUACACACCGCCCGUCAAGCCAUGGAAGUCUGGGGUACCUGAAGUCGGUGACCGUAAAAGGAGCUGCCUAGGGUAAAACAGGUAACUAGGGCUAAGUCGUAACAAGGUAGCCGUACCGGAAGGUGCGGCUGGAACAUCUCAUUUUAGAGACA
rnacentral:rRNA from 2 species